rnacentral:rRNA from 1 species
AGCCCCGUACACAAAAAUGCACAUAUUGUGAGCUCGAUGAGUAGGGCGGGACACGUGGUAUCCUGUCUGAAUAUGGGGGGACCAUCCUCCAAGGCUAAAUACUCCUGACUGACCGAUAGUGAACCAGUACCGUGAGGGAAAGGCGAAAAGAACCCCGGCGAGGGGAGUGAAAAAGAACCUGAAACCGUGUACGUACAAGCAGUGGGAGCCUCUUAAUGGGGUGACUGCGUACCUUUUGUAUAAUGGGUCAGCGACUUAUAUUCUGUAGCAAGGUUAACCGAAUAGGGGAGCCGAAGGGAAACCGAGUCUUAACUGGGCGUUAAGUUGCAGGGUAUAGACCCGAAACCCGGUGAUCUAGCCAUGGGCAGGUUGAAGGUUGGGUAACACUAACUGGAGGACCGAACCGACUAAUGUUGAAAAAUUAGCGGAUGACUUGUGGCU